rnacentral:rRNA from 1 species
UACAGAGGGUGCAAGCGUUAAUCGGAAUUACUGGGCGUAAAGCGUGCGUAGACGGUUAUUUAAGUCAGGUGUGAAAGCCCAGGGCUCAACCUUGGAAUUGCAUUUGAGACUGAAUAGCUAGGGUGCGGAAGAGGGAAGCGGAAUUUCCGGUGUAGCGGUGAAAUGCGUAGAUAUCGGAAGGAACACCAGUGGCGAAAAGCGGCUUCCUGGUCCAGCACCGACGUUCAGGCACGAAAGCGUGGGGAGCAAACAGG